GUUCGGAAGUGGUAAAGUGGUAAUGUAGAUCCCUUUUAUCCAUGUGCUGAUGCUCAGAGUGAGCGUCGACAUCCUUUGUAUAUAAAACUACUGUUGCUUCAAGUCUGGUUGUAUUCAACUGAAGUCUCGCAACAGUUUAGUGCAUCAACUACCAUAAACCACCGUCGUAAUUAAUUAGCUGCUCGCUUGCGAUCGCCAAAGAUGCGACCGUUCAACAACAUGAAAGCUAUCUGGAUUGUCAUUGCUCUUAUAGCAUCGAUUGCAUACGGAUUAUCCGUACACAAACCACGGGCAAGUCUCAGUAAUGUACGAAAUUUCGAUGAGCAAAUCCGAAUGGCUUACCAACCGGAAGUCGAGGAGGCUUUCCGACCUGGAAGAUUUUUGGAAGACGAUACCAGCGAUGAUGGCUAUGACUUUCACUUUUAAAAUUCCGGUUAACAAACCGGUGAAUCAUCUAGAGUAGGUGUUCCGGAAGUGUCUCGUCACGUUUCUUAAUUUAUUUCAUUGUUAUUUAUUCAGAAUGUGACUAUAAUAUUUAUGUUUGCGGUUACAAUAAAAAUUUAUAAAAUACA